rnacentral:lncRNA from 1 species
GUUUGGGAGUUGGUUAAGUGAGGGUAAGGUACUAGGCACCCCUUACUUCCAUUGUAUUCAAUGGGAUCCUCCGUCAAUUUUAGGGUUGGUGCAUAUUCCUAAUGGAUUUCCUUGACUACUAGUUAAUUAUUUAAUUAUUUACUUGUUUAUCGAAAUUAUUUUCUUUAAUAUAUGGGAUAUCCAAAGAAAGAUUUUUAUUGUUGAACUCGCUAGAGUUUAUACCUCUAUGCCUAUGUACCUUUGCAUUAGGCGAAG